rnacentral:tRNA from 1 species
AGAAAUAUGUCUGACAAAAGAGUUACUUUGAUAGAGUAAAACAUAGGGGACGCAACCCCUUAUUUCUA